rnacentral:rRNA from 1 species
UACGUAGGGUGCGAGCGUUGUCCGGAAUUAUUGGGCGUAAAGAGCUCGUAGGUGGCGGGUCACGUCGGGUGUGAAAGCCCGGGGCUUAACUCCGGGUCUGCAUUCGAUACGGGUCUGCUGGGGUCCGGCAGGGGAGACUGGAAUUCCUGGUGUAGCGGUGGAAUGCGCAGAUAUCAGGAGGAACACCGGUGGCGAGGGCGGGUCUCUGGGCCGAUACUGACACUGAGAAGCGAAAGCGUGGGGAGCGAACAGG